rnacentral:rRNA from 1 species
GAUGAACGCUGGCGGCGUGCCUAAUACAUGCAAGUCGAGCGAACAGACGAGGAGCUUGCUCCUCUGACGUUAGCGGCGGACGGGUGAGUAACACGUGGAUAACCUACCUAUAAGACUGGGAUAACUUCGGGAAACCGGAGCUAAUACCGGAUAAUAUAUUGAACCGCAUGGUUCAAUAGUGAAAUACGGUUUUGCUGUCACUUAUAGAUGGAUCCGCGCCGCAUUAGCUAGUUGGUAAGGUAACGGCUUACCAAGGCAACGAUGCGUAGCCGACCUGAGAGGGUGAUCGGCCACACUGGAACUGAGACACGGUCCAGACUCCUACGGGAGGCAGCAGUAGGGAAUCUUCCGCAAUGGGCGAAAGCCUGACGGAGCAACGCCGCGUGAGUGAUGAAGGUCUUCGGAUCGUAAAACUCUGUUAUUAGGGAAGAACAAAUGUGUAAGUAACUAUGCACGUCUUGACGGUACCUAAUCAGAAAGCCACGGCUAACUACGCG